UGGGGCCAGGCCGGGUGCCCCUGUCCUACGCCGCUCCCCUGCUGGAGCCCUCGGGCCCCGGCUGCGGCCUGCUGCCCUCAGCCCUGGAGCCGCCGAGCCUCAGAUUACCCCCAGGGUCCGAGGAUUCCAAGUGGUCCGAGCAGCUGGACUCACUCCUGCAGGCCACUGAUGGCAACGUGGCCCGGAUCAAGCAGCAUCUCUGCCCCCUUGGGGUCUCUGCAACUGGUGAUUCAAGUCUGACUCCUUCUGGGCCCUGGAUAUCCCAUUCUAAUCCUGAAGGGGAACUGCCUCGUCAUAUCUGGGCCCUGGAUACCCC